rnacentral:sRNA from 1 species
AACAAAUUAACAUUUCUAAUUUUCAGCUGCUGGUGCAAGAAUCGCAAAGUGGCCUCCUUGAAAGUGAUAGUCGUGGAUGAAGAGAACACGAGACUCAAACUCUACAUCAGCUACGGUGGACUGGUCACUACAACCAUCGGCUCCUUUCUGAUUGUCUUCUGUAUCUGCUGUAAGAAGAGUGACAAGAAUGCGAGGUAGAGGAAGCGUCGAAACUAUGUCCUACCUUCUGACCUAACUACCUUCUGGACUAACUGGACACACACUAUUUAAUGUUUUUUCUACCUUUAUGUGCACAUCCUGGACAGUGCUGGUGGCAUUCUAGUAUUCUCCAAUGUAUACAGUCAAAAUACUAACUCUACAUAUUAUUGUUCUUCUUUUUAAAAAUAAAAUUCUUGAAAAAGUU